UGGCGUAAACAAAGGGAGGCGAAGCCGCGAGGUGGAGCAAAUCCCAAAAAUAACGUCUCAGUUCGGAUUGUAGUCUGCAACUCGACUACAUGAAGCUGGAAUCGCUAGUAAUCGCGAAUCAGAAUGUCGCGGUGAAUACGUUCCCGGGUCUUGUACACACCGCCCGUCACACCAUGGGAGUCAGCAACGCCCGAAGCCGGUGACCCAACCGAAAGGAGGGAGCCGUCGAAGGUGGGGCCGAUAACUGGGGUGAAGUCGUAACAAGGUAUC
rnacentral:rRNA from 1 species